UACAGAGGUGCCGAGCGUUAGGCGGAAUCACUGGGCUUAAAGCGCGUGUAGGCGGGUCGUUAAGUGUCCGCGUGAAAUCCCACGGCUCAACCGUGGAACUGCCGGGCAUACUGGCGACCUUGAGCACUUAGGGGCGAGCGGAACAAAUGGUGGAGCGGUGAAAUGCGCAGAUAUCAGGAGGAACACCGGUGGCGAAGGCGGGUCUCUGGGCAGUAACUGACGCUGAGGAGCGAAAGCGUGGGGAGCGAACAGG
rnacentral:rRNA from 1 species